rnacentral:rRNA from 1 species
UACGGAGGGUGCGAGCGUUGUCCGGAAUAACUGGGCGUAAAGGGCGCGUAGGCGGCCAUCUAAGUCAGACGUGAAAUCCCCCGGCUUAACCUGGGAACUGCGUCUGAUACUGGACGGCUCGAGUAUGGGAGAGGGAUGUAGAAUUCCAGGUGUAGCGGUGAAAUGCGUAGAUAUCUGGAGGAAUACCGGUGGCGAAGGCGGCAUCCUGGACCAUUUACUGACGCUGAGGCGCGAAAGCUAGGGGAGCAAACGGG